rnacentral:rRNA from 1 species
UACGAAGGGGGCUAGCGUUGUUCGGAAUUACUGGGCGUAAAGCGCGCGCAGGCGGUUUUCCAAGUCAGUGGUGAAAGCCCAGAGCUCAACUCUGGAACUGCCAUUGAAACUGUUAAACUAGAGGACGAGAGAGGUGAGUGGAAUUCCCAGUGUAGAGGUGAAAUUCGUAUAUAUUGGGAAGAACACCGGUGGCGAAGGCGGCUCACUGGCUCGUUUCUGACGCUCAGGCGCGAUAGCGUGUGGAUCAAACAGG